rnacentral:lncRNA from 1 species
CGGCGCGGAGGGGCCGCGGGGCCGCGCAGCUGUCAGCGCGGCGCGGGGGAAGCACCGAAACGCUCGCGUCGCCUUAAAACGUCUCAUUGUGCUGUUUCACGGCCAGAUGGUUACUGACAGACUGGGCUCUCAUCAGUGGAUUGCUGCUGAACCUCUCUGAUGCCUAGAACUGAGCAGCUGUUUGUCUGCCUGUCCUGGCCUGUCUUCAAACCAAGGUGUGCCACCGCCUCGCAGUGCGGGAUCCAGGGCCCAGGCAGCCAGCCCCGAGCCGCUGCAGCUUAGACAUGUAAGCUCGUUACGUAACGGCCUGGGGAGAGCUCAGGUUUUGAGUGAAAACUGGAACAGCCAACAGUGCAAGGGCUGUCUAAAGCAGCCGGUAGGAAAUGCCAGAGAGAGGGGAGCGUGCCCCUUCUUGGGGGUGUCGAUAUCUAAUGCAGGUUUCAGGAUGGUAUUUAUGCCAGACUGGGAUUCAGAGCUCUGAUCGCUACCCUGAGGCGCGCUGCCGAGACCACAG